AGAGUUUGAUCCUGGCUCAGGACGAACGCUGGCGGCGUGCCUAAUACAUGCAAGUAGAACGCUGAAGAGAGGAGCUUGCUCUUCUUGGAUGAGUUGCGAACGGGUGAGUAACGCGUAGGUAACCUGCCUUGUAGCGGGGGAUAACUAUUGGAAACGAUAGCUAAUACCGCAUAACAAUGGAUGACACAUGUCAUUUAUUUGAAAGGGGCAAUUGUUCCACUACAAGAUGGACCUGCGUUGUAUUAGCUAGUAGGUGAGGUAAUGGCUCACCUAGGCGACGAUACAUAGCCGACCUGAGAGGGUGAUCGGCCACACUGGGACUGAGACACGGCCCAGACUCCUACGGGAGGCAGCAGUAGGGAAUCUUCGGCAAUGGGGGCAACCCUGACCGAGCAACGCCGCGUGAGUGAAGAAGGUUUUCGGAUCGUAAAGCUCUGUUGUAAGUCAAGAACGGGUGUGAGAGUGGAAAGUUCACACUGUGACGGUAGCUUACCAGAAAGGGACGGCUAACUACGUGCCAGCAGCCGCGGUAAUACGUAGGUCCCGAGCGUUGUCCGGAUUUAUUGGGCGUAAAGCGAGCGCAGGCGGUUUGAUAAGUCUGAAGUUAAAGGCUGUGGCUCAACCAUAGUUCGCUUUGGAAACUGUCAAACUUGAGUGCAGAAGGGGAGAGUGGAAUUCCAUGCGUAGCGGUGAAAUGCGUAGAUAUAUGGAGGAACACCGGUGGCGAAAGCGGCUCUCUGGUCUGUAACUGACGCUGAGGCUCGAAAGCGUGGGGAGCGAACAGGAUUAGAUACCCUGGUAGUCCACGCCGUAAACGAUGAGUGCUAGGUGUUGGAUCCUUUCCGGGAUUCAGUGCCGCAGCUAACGCAUUAAGCACUCCGCCUGGGGAGUACGACCGCAAGGUUGAAACUCAAAGGAAUUGACGGGGGCCCGCACAAGCGGUGGAGCAUGUGGUUUAAUUCGAAGCAACGCGAAGAACCUUACCAGGUCUUGACAUCCCGAUGCUAUUUCUAGAGAUAGAAAGUUACUUCGGUACAUCGGUGACAGGUGGUGCAUGGUUGUCGUCAGCUCGUGUCGUGAGAUGUUGGGUUAAGUCCCGCAACGAGCGCAACCCCUAUUGUUAGUUGCCAUCAUUCAGUUGGGCACUCUAGCGAGACUGCCGGUAAUAAACCGGAGGAAGGUGGGGAUGACGUCAAAUCAUCAUGCCCCUUAUGACCUGGGCUACACACGUGCUACAAUGGUUGGUACAACGAGUUGCGAGUCGGUGACGGCGAGCUAAUCUCUUAAAGCCAAUCCCAGUUCGGAUUGUAGGCUGCAACUCGCCUACAUGAAGUCGGAAUCGCUAGUAAUCGCGGAUCAGCACGCCGCGGUGAAUACGUUCCCGGGCCUUGUACACACCGCCCGUCACACCACGAGAGUUUGUAACACCCGAAGUCGGUGAGGUAACCUUUUGGAGCCAGCCGCCUAAGGUGGGACAGAUGAUUGGGGUGAAGUCGUAACAAGGUA
rnacentral:rRNA from 1 species